GAUGAAGAACGUAGCGAAAUGCGAUAAGUAAUGUGAAUUGCAGAAUUCAGUGAAUCAUCGAAUCUUUGAACGCACAUUGCGCCCGCCAGUAUUCUGGCGGGCAUGCCUGUUCGAGCGUCAUUUCAACCAUCAAGCCCCAGGCUUGUGUUGGGGACCUGCGGCUGCCGCAGGCCCUGAAAACCAGUGGCGGGCUCGCUGUCACACCGGGCGUAGUAGAUUUUAUCUCGCUCAGGGCGUGCUGCGGGUUCCGGCCGUUAAAAAGCCUUUUUUACCCAAGGUUGACCUCGGAUCAGGUGGGAAGACCCGCUGAACUUAAGCAUAUCAAUAAGCGGAGGA
rnacentral:misc_RNA from 1 species